AACGCACCUUGCGCUCCAUAGUUAUUCUGUGGAGCAUGCCUGUCUGAGUGUCAUGAAACUCUCAACCUCCCUUCAUGUUUGUCUUUUGCAAUGUGAAGGUGGGCUUGGAUCAUGAGUGUCUGCUGGACUCUGUAUCAGCUCGCUCGAAAUGCAUAUGUUGCCGCUGCUCUCCCUUGGUUGGACCUGGCGUGAUAAGACUUUUCGCUAGGGAUCAUCCUCACUUGGAUGCCAAGGGGAGCCGGCUGCCUACAGCAGACCCAAUUGUCUAAGUGUUAGACCUCAGAUCAGGUAGGACUACCCGCUGAACUUAA
rnacentral:misc_RNA from 1 species